UAGGAAAACACCUAGUAAACUAGGUGACCACCUAGUAAACUAGGUGACCACCUAGUAAACUAGGUGACCACCUAGUUUAGUCCACUCUGAGCCACAUCUGAUCAAACUUUGUUUUUACUCAACUUGUAGUAAUUUACAUAGCUAUAAUUGAGUACUCUAGAAUUUACACAUAAAAUCAUCAAUACCUAUUAUAUUGAUCUUAUAUAUUGAAUUACAUUUAACUAGAUAAUGGUGAUAAAAAAGAUUAUUGCUAAGAAAUUUUUGUUACUCUUAACCGUGUAUAUUCAGCAGAUUGAUGUUAUUUUUAUUAUUCUGCACUUAACUCUUGGAUCACUUUCUGGAUAAUGUUCCACUUUAUUUACACUGAUUUUAUGGACUGUGUUCAUAUUUCAGUAUUUGACAAAGUAAACAUAAGAGAUUUGUUUUGUUUUCUUUC
rnacentral:lncRNA from 1 species